CCUUUGCAAGCUCCCAGGGCUCUCCGCAAGCUCCUUGCACACUCAGACUGCUCCUUGCACGCUUGGGCUGCUCCUUGCACGCCCCUGCAGGCACCUUGCACGCCUCUCCUGCACCUUGCACGCCCCUUGCACGCCUCUCCAGCACCUUGCACGCCCUUCACACACCCCUUGCACACCCCUGCAGGCACCUUGCACGCCCCUGCAGCACCCUGCAGCCCCCCUCUAGCACCUUGCACACCCCCUGCACCCUCCUUGCACACCCAUCCUCCCCUUGCACACCCCUGCAGGCACCUUGCACGCCCCUUACACACCUCUCUACCCCCUUGCACACCCUUCACACGCCCCUUGCACACCCCUGCAGCACCCUGCAACCCCCCUCCAUCACCUUGC
rnacentral:lncRNA from 1 species